GCCUUGUAAGCGUUGUAGUUCUCUUUCAAUCAAUGGGUGAACUGAUGGCUUAGAAUUCCAGUAGUUGUUUUCUUCAUACUGGUUUGAGUGAAUUGACAUUUAAGCUGCAAUAUUUAAGAUGCAUUUAAUGUGGUAAUUUUGUAAUGAUGAAUCUGAUACACUAUUGAUUGCAGAUUUUGUAGGGGUUUGCUUUACAUAAAACUGCUUGCAUACAAGAGCCGUUUUUCAGACUGCAGGUAACAUAAAAAAUCUUAAAAUAGUAUUCAUGCUUUAACAUCCUUGGUUCGUGGAAACACUUGUAUAUUUUGCUUAGGGCUAAAUUAGCUGAGGCCUACAUUUGAAUGCUAUUCCUUCUUGCUAAUGAUAUUUUCCCCUUAUCUCCU